GCUCAUGUGGCUUAAUGGUUAGAGCGUCCGCCUCGGAUGCGGGAGGAGGUCGUGAUUCGAUCCCCGGUCGAGUCA